GUUAGGAAUAUUGGACAAUGGGCGCAAGCCUGAUCCAGCCAUGCCGCGUGAACGAUGAAGGCCUUCGGGUUGUAAAGUUCUUUAGCCGAUGAUUAUAAUGACUGUAGUCGGAAAAUAAGCCCCGGCUAACUUCGUGCCAGCAGCCGCGGUAAUACGAAGGGGGCGAGCGUUAUUCGGAAUCACUGGGCGUAAAGCGUGCGUAGGCGGUUUUGUAUGUUAGGAGUGAAAGCCCAGGGCUCAACCUUGGAAUUGCUCUUAAAACUGCAAGGCUCGAAUCUCGGAGAGGAUAGCGGAAUUUCCAGUGUAGCAGUGAAAUGCGUAGAUAUUGGAAGGAACACCAGUGGCGUAAGCGGCUAUCUGGACGAGUAUUGACGCUGAGGCACGAAAGCGUGGGGAUCAAACAGGAUUAGAUACCCCGGUAGUCC
rnacentral:rRNA from 1 species